rnacentral:rRNA from 1 species
GAUAAACGCUAGCGGCAGGCUUAACACAUGCAAGUCGAGGGGCAGCAUAGAUUGUAGCAAUACAAUUGGUGGCGACCGGCGCACGGGUGCGUAACGCGUAUGCAACCUACCCGUCACAGGGGGAUAAUCCUGACAAAUCUGGUCUAAUACCCCAUAACAUAUGGAUCGGCAUCGGUUCAUGUUGAAAUUUUCGUAGGUGACGGAUGGGCAUGCGUAGCAUUAGCUUGUUGGUGAGGUAACGGCUCACCAAGGCGACGAUGCUUAGGGGGACUGAGAGGUUUUCCCCCCACACUGGUACUGAGACACGGACCAGACUCCUACGGGAGGCAGCAGUGAGGAAUAUUGGUCAAUGGGCGCAAGCCUGAACCAGCCAUGCCGCGUGCAGGAUGACGGCUCUAUGAGUUGUAAACUGCUUUUGUACGAGGGUAAAGUGGGUUACGUGUAACCUUUUGAAAGUAUCGUACGAAUAAGGAUCGGCUAACUCCGUGCCAGCCGCCGCCGUAA